UCAUACACCGUUAAGAGUAUAUGGUGGAUGCCUUGGCAAUAAACAACGAUGAAGGACGUGACCGGCUGCGAUAAGCUACGGGGAGGUGCUGAGUAACCGUUAAUCCGUAGAUUUCCGAAUGGGGAAACCCCCUUACCGUAAUUGGUGAGGACUACCUUGCUGCAAGGCAGGGAUAGGGACAACCUUGCGAAUUGAAACAUCUUAGUAGCAAGAGGAAAAGAAACGAAAGGCGAGCUUUUAGAGUAUUAGCUGAUAGCUGUUAGGAGUUAUCGUUUUCGAUGGCUUCUAUAAGCUAAAAGCUAUAACCUAAGAAGCUUGUUACAUUCUCUUAGUAGUGGCGAGCGAAAAGGGAACAGCCCAAACCGCGCGUAUGUAAUAACCCAUAAAGGUGUUGUACGUGCGGGGUUGUAGGUUUAUGCGACUGUAAUUUAUGAAAGCAAGAUAUGAUUUGUGUAUUUGUCUAGGAGAACGCGGCUGGAAUGCCCGACCAUAGAGGGUGAGAGUCCCGUAACUAAAAGAUAUACGCAACGUAUCAGCAUAGACCUGAGUAGAGCGGGACACGACAAGCCCGUUUGAAUCUGGGAGGACUAAACUCCUAAGGCUAAAUAUGUUUAUUGACCGAUAGUGAACUAGUACCGUGAGGGAAAGGUGAAAAGAACCCCGUUCAGGGGAGUGAAAUAGACCUGAAACCAUAUACUUACAUAGAGUAGGAGCCCCGUAUUUAUACGUGGGUGACUGCGUGCUUUUUGCAGAACGAACCAUCGAGUUCGCUGUAUGCCGUUUGCUUAAGUCUCAAACCGAGACGGAGGCGUAGCGAAAGCGAGUAUUAAUAGUGCGUUUAUAAUGGCAUGCACGAGACCCGAAACCGGGUGAUCUAUCCAUGAGCAGGGUGAAGUUUUGCGAAAGCAAAAUGGAGGCCCGAACCCGUUGGCUGUUCAAUACCAUGGGAUGACUUGUGGAUAGCGGAGAAAUUCCAAUCGAACCCGGAAAUAGCUGGUUCUCGUCGAAAUAGCUUUAGGGCUAGCCUCGUGAGGUAGCUAAGAGAGGUAGAGCACUGCAAGGGAUCUGGGGGCUUCUAGUUCUCGACCCUAGCAAACUCCGAAUACUUUUAGUGUGAAUCACGGGAGUCAGAACGCGGGGGCUAAGCUCCGCGCUCAAAAGGGAAACAGCCCAGAUCAUAGCUUAAGGUCCCUAAAUACUGUCUAAGUGGUUAAGGCGGUGGAGUUGCACAGACAGCGAGGCAGUUGGCUUAGAAGCAGCCACCUGUUAAAGAUAGCGUAACAGCUCACUCGUUAAGCGACUCUGCGCCGAAAAUUCAACGGGGCUCAAGACAGUUACCGAAAGCAUGAACUUUUCCGCCUCUGGCGGAGGAGUGGUAGACGAGCGUUUCAUUUGCGUCGAAGGCGUACCGUGAGGUCCGCUGGAGCGAAUGGAAGUGAGGAUGAUGGUAUAAGUAACAAGACACAAGGUGAGAACCCUUGUCACCGUAAACCUAAGGUUUCCUGGGCAAUGUCGAUCAUCCCAGGGUUAGUCGUACCUAAGCUCAGGCCGAAAGGCGUAGGCGAUGGACAACAGGUUAAUAUUCCUGUACCGACUAUAGAGUUUGUAAGACGUGACGAAUCGUCACACCUCAUCAGGACAUAUGACUUAUCCUGUGGGGCACACUAGUUGGGUCAGCAAGGUAAAUCCGGCUGGCCAUCCGCUUCGGCGGAAAACAGCGAAGUGCUUCAGGAGAGCGCGAGCUUCGGCUCAAACCUCUAUAAGGAAAGACGGUUCCCGGAAAAGCGUCGUACAAUUUCCUCUAUGGCCGACCGUACCGCAAACCAACACAGGUAGGUGGAUGUAAGAGCAUUAAGGUGAUCGGGAGUACCCUCGUUAAGGAACUCGGCAAAAUAGCAGCCGUACGUUCGCAAUAAGGCUUACCUGUACCGCAGCGCAAGCUGUAGGUGCAGGUCGCAGCGCAAGAUCCCUGGCGACUGUUUAACAAAAACACAGGUUCCUGCUAACUCGUAAGAGGAUGUAUAGGAGCUGACUCCUGGCCAGUGUCGGAACGUUAAAAUCGCUCGUUAACGCGAGUGAUCCAAGCGCCGAUGAACGCCGGCCGUAACUAUGAACCAAACUGUAGUUAUAAAAUUUGGCUAAAUGCUGGAAUAUCUGAGUAUCUCGAGAUACUAAUCUGUCAUUCCGGACUUGCUCCGGAAUCCAGGUAGUGAAAAUUCUUGAGUGCAGACAAUCAGCAGGAAAGAUCCCGCUUCGGCGGGAAAUCCUCAGAGACUACACGCCAAACCCUGAACCCAGCGUGGUUUACGGGAUGAUAUAGUCCGAUCCUUAUGGCGACAUAAGGAGCAUGGCAGAAAUGUUCAUGCCAUCUGCAAUAUAUGCAGAGAGUAACAACAAUGAACGGUCCUAAGGUAGAAGGAAUUUCUCUACUAUUCGCGAAAGAAUUGAAGAGUUGCUGCCUUAAUAAAACUAGGCCAAAUGCUGGAAACCCUGAGUAUUCAGCUGUACUCAAAUAUGGUAAAAUGAACCUAUGUUGAGUGACAAUCAGUCUGAUGCAGACAAUCAGCAGGAAAGGCCGAGUAUUGAGAAUAUCCCAGAAGAUACCGGUUGGUAUCUUUCAGGAUUUACUGAUGGAGAAGGAAGCUUUAACGUUUCCACGAUCAAUCGCAAUAAAGAUUUUAAAACAGGAUGGAAAAUAGCAUUAUCGUUCAAUAUCUCUCAACGAGACACGACAGUGCUCAACUUGUUUCAAAAAACUUUACAGUGCGGAACAUUUCGGAAACGCAAAGACGGAGUAACGUACUAUGAAGUUCGUCGUAUAGAUGAUCUCCAAAACACUGUUAUUCCAUUCUUUGAACGCUUUAUCCUAAAAUCAGUAUCGAAACGAAAACAAUUCGAGAUAUUUCGUGAGAUUUUGCAGAUAGUUGCUCAAAAAGAGCAUCUUACUACAAACGGUCUCAAGAAAAUAUUUUUGCUUCGCCAAACCAUUGUGGUUGGGAGAAAACGAAAAUAUACGCUCGAACAAAUUCUUUCAAGAUCUCAUAUUCGGAAUCCUCAGAGACUACACGCCUAGGCCCACUAAAAACAGGCAAGAUAUAGUCCGAACUACAUGGCGACAUGUAGAGCUUGCUAGAAAUAGUAAGCCACGUAGAAGAAUAACAAUUACGUCGUAACAUUUGAGCGAAAUUCCUUGGCAGGUAAGUUCUGUCCCGCACGAAUGGAGUCACGACUGGGGAACUGUCUCAACGAGGGACCCGGUGAAAUUGCAAUGUCGGUAAAGAUGCCGCCACCCUGCGGCUAGACGAAAAGACCCCAUGAAGCUUCACUACAGCUUGGUAUUGGCUCGUCGAAUAUACUGCUCAGCAUAGGUGGGAGACUAUGACGGCCGCCUUCGGGCGCGCCCGAGUCACAAUAUGAGAUACCACCCUGUAUAUUUAACGCGUCUAACGACUUAGUGUGAAUCCACUAAUCAGACAGUGCCUGGCGGGUAGUUUAUCUGGGGCGGAUUCCUCAUAAACAGUAACUGAGGAGCCUAUAAGGUCAGCUAGGCACGGAUGGAAACCGUGCCGAUAGUGCAAAGGCAUAAGCUGGCUUCACUGCAAGACAUACAUGUCGCGCAGACACGAAAGUGGAGCUUAGUGAACCGACCGUUUCGUAUAGAAGAGCGGAAGAUCAUCGGAUAAAAGCUACUCUGGGGAUAACAGGCUUAUCUCCCCCAAUAGUCCACAUAGACGGGGAGGUUUGGCACCUCGAUGUCGGCUCGUCCUAUCCUGGGGCUGAAGAAGGUCCCAAGGGUUUGGCUGUUCGCCAAUGAAAAGGGUACGCGAGCUGGGUUCAAACCGUACGGUCACACUGACCGCGGCGGCUUAGUCGAGCAAUCGACUAUGUAUAAAUUGACUAAUAUCGGUGAAGUCCUAACAAUACACAUUUAACCUGUCGUGUGUUAGGAUAAUACCGAGGGAAGUUAUUACUCUUCGAGCAUAGAUGAAUAAACUUACAAUCGCACAGAGGGCAUAUAUAGCUGGAUUUCUUGAUGGAGAUGGAAGUAUUUACGUUCGGCUCAAACCGAAUGCAACCUACCGUUUCCGCUAUCAAGUAGCUCCGAAUAUCGUGUUCUUUCAAUCGAUGAAAGCGCGGUUCGGAUUAGAAAACAUCCAGAACAUACUUGGUAUCGGGUAUUUGCGUGAUAGAAAUGACGGAAUUGUCGAAUAUACAAUCGGCGAUGAAGUAUCUAUCGCUGCACUUCUUGAUUGCAUAUAUCCAUAUUUGUAUCUCAAGCGAAAACAAGCAGUCAUAAUGCUUACAAUUCUAAAAAAGAAGAAAUUAGUUGCAACAGGAUCGGAUUUUUUAAAGCUUUGCGCUUUAAUCGAUCGAUUCCAAUUGCUUAAUUAUUCAAAAAAAAGAAUUCAAACAAGAAGUGCUGUUCAAAAAACACUUCUUGCAGAAGGGAUUUUAACCCCGUAGAGACUUGAUAUUCGCCAAGGGUGAAUAUCGGAUUUGCCACCAUCUAUCCAUAAAAGAUAGAAAUUCAAGGCAAAUAAUACGUCGAUCUCCUUACACAAUAAGGAUGGUGAUAUAGUCCAUGCUUCUAGUAAUAGAAGAAUCACACACAGCGCAAGACAGGUUGGACUCUAUCUGUCGCAGGCGUGGAAACUUGAGGAUCGUCCUUCCUAGUACGAGAGGACCGGAAGGGACCAACCUCUGGUGUACCAGUUGUCCAGUUCUUGGGCAUUGCUGGGUAGCUACGUUGGGCUGGUGAUAAGCGCUGAAAGCAUCUAAGCGCGAAGCCCAAUCCAAGACCAGGUUUCAAUAUGAGACUCCUAGAAGACUACUAGGUUGAUAGGCGGGAAGUGUACGCACAGCAAUGUGUUGAGCUGACCCGUACUAAUUAGUCCAGUUGUAUGAAU
rfam:Candidatus Andersenbacteria bacterium RIFCSPHIGHO2_12_FTLL_45_11b rifcsphigho2_12_scaffold_24942, whole genome shotgun sequence.